AUGAAACUAAAUUUGAAUUCUUCUACUGCUCUCUCCAUUGCUUUCUCUCUACUGUAACUUGUAUUGCAAGCUGAAUCUUUUAUUAUGGUUAUGCAGUAUGCGGGGUGUAAUUAUUAAGAAGAAGCUCCCUUGAUCAAUAAUGGCUGGUGUGAUAAUGAUGUUUCACAAGAUGGUAAAGGCAGCAAUUUCCUUUCCUG